rnacentral:rRNA from 1 species
UACGGAGGGUGCAAGCAUUAAUCGGAUUUACUGGGCGUAAAGGGCGCGUAGGCGGACCUGUAAGUCAGAUGUGAAAUCCCGGGGCUCAACCCCGGAACAGCAUACGAAACUGCAGGUCUAGAGGGUAGGCGGAGAAAACGGAAUUCCACAAGUAGCGGUGAAAUGCGUAGAUAUGUGGAAGAACACCGGUGGCGAAGGCGGUUUUCUAGCUUACUCCUGACGCUGAGGCGCGAAAGCAAGGGGAUCAAACAGG